UAAAAAGAUCAAACUAUGCUCUAUAUUUUACAAGUAAAGUAAAGUUUAAAAUGGCUGAAAUUCUCAAGUUAUUUUAUAUUUGGUUUUUCUAUGUUUUAUUAUUUGUUACAAGAUCACAUGCUGUUGAUAAACCACUUUAUUUAUAUUUUUUUUUUCUAAUUUAUUUUAAACUUUCAAGUUUGUAUAUAAUAUUUUAUUAAGUUUUCUAAUAUUACUUUAUAAUCUCUUUUCAUUUCAGAAAGAUAUAAGUUAGUUCCUUACGAAUGUGAAGUUGAUAAAGAUUGUCCUCAAAUUGUUAAAUGCGUCAAUCUGUUUUGCCGUAUUGUAUAGCAGGAUUAAAGAUCUUAAGAUAUGUUAAAUGGAAAAGUAUCAAUAAAAAAUAAAUGAAUAAUAUUUUAUGAUAAAAUUUAUCUUCUAAAAUAGCACUUAUUUAUUGUUCAAACAUUUUUAUUUUAGUUUUCUGAUUUCAUGAACCUUGUAUUUACGAUUUUAAUUGGUACUUUAAAUGAUAGUAAGAAAAUAAACAAUAUAACAAUGACAUAUAUCCAAUUCAUCUAUACUACCUUAUUUUUAAUCUCACACACCUGUAAAAAUAACUUUAUAUUUUCAUUUGUAAUUUUUUUUAACUUACUUCAAAAUCUAUAUUUUAUGUUAAAACCACACGUUAACUUAUAUAUUUCAUGUCUAAAAAUUUGUAUUUUGAUGUUCUGUAAAACAAUUUGAUAGUUUUGGAAACAAGAAAUUAUUUAAUGUUCUUUAUUUCCGGAUGAAUAUUUUGCUAAAAUCUAAAAUUUGAUUAUGAGUUGUAUUUAUUAUUAGUGAUAUUAUUUUGUUCUAAUUAUUGUAUUUAUGACGGCAGUGCUAUUGUAUUCCUUUUGGUUUAAUUUUUAUAUUGCUAUAAAAUUAUAUAUCAUCUCGGUUGACUAAACGGUUUGCCCUGGUUGAUUGUCUGUGGUUACAAGGGUGUCAUAGAAUAUGCGCUAUUUUUUCCUUUGAACUAAUUGUGGAGGUAAAAAAAUGAAUAGCAUGCAUUUUUUCUCAUGAUUGAACCUGCUAACUGAGGUGAAAGUUGUUUGAUCAUGAGUUCGUUUCUCAAUAAAAUCAUUUUGGUAUUUAGGCGCGUGGAUUUUCCCCCACGGUUGUUACUUUUAAUCGAGGGGUUAAUAUUUCACAACGGUUAUAAUGAAUUUAUUGAUAAAAUAAUAUUCAUAUUUUAUAACAAUACUAGAAGGAAUUUUGUUGAAGAAGAAACAAUUUUUUUUUUAAAUAUGAGAACUAACACAGAGAACAUUAACACGAAGAAGACAACAAUAACAUAACGACGGUAGAGAAUAAUAAUGGUGGAAGGAGGCGAGAGCAACAACUCAAUGAAUAAAAAGUUUUUAUGACUUAUAUUAUUUUUACUUUAUAUGUUUGGGAGUUUGGUUCUAUAUUCGUGUUUUUCUAAAAUGAAUUAAACAUAAACAAAGAUGGAGAAUAUUUUGACCGAUAUAAAAUUUGGGCUUAAUGAUGGGUGGAAUAAAAGAUUUAGAGCAUAGUUAUAUCAUUGGUUCGACUCAUCAAUUUGUCGGUUCCUAAAAAUUAAAAUUGAGAAUCGAACCAAACCACAUCGAUUUACAUUGGCUUGAUUUGGUUUUUGAACCGAAUGAGAAACAAUCAGAUUUUUUUCGAUUCGGUUUGGUUUGGUUUGGAUUGUCAAUUUAAUUGAUUUUUUCUGAUCCGCUUACACUCUUACAUUAAUAUUUUAGUUUUUAAAUUUUGUUGUAGUUCAACUCUCUCACUCUCUCACCCUUAUCGAACUUCUCCCACCCUCUCCCUUACUCUGUUCAAACUUAGAAUUUGUCACGCUAACCCUCACCUUUGCCUUCAAUGAACAACCGUCCGUUGAAAUUCUCUUCAAUUAUAUCAUCUUACUUUAACAUUUUUUUCUUGUCAUUUAGGCUGUAACCAUGGGUCUACAAGUCAUGCCUAAGCACAAAAAUUGAUUCCACAAGACUAAGAACACUUGAAUUAUAUCUCUAAAUUAUAAUUAAAUUUCCGAUCAACACUAAUUGAUUGAUAACGUAGUUUCUAGUUAUGUUCUAUUAAUAUUUGUAUUUUGUAAAUAUUUGAAACUUGAGAAGAAUUCAUAUUUUAUUUUUUCUAAAACGUUGUAAAAUCAUUUUCUUUGUUGUUGUUAGAUUGAUCAUUCGAUUAGUUAAAAAAUCAAUUUUAGUUAUGUGUGAAAAAUGAUUUAUGAUCAUUGUUGAAUUGCUUGUUUAAGCAACUUCAUAUUUCUCAGUUGUUGUGAUUAAUGAUGAUCUUAGUUAAUCGUAAUAUCAAUUUAAUCGUAUGUUUUAUAAAGGUGCCGCUAUCUUUUGCUUCAGUUUGCAAUAUGCUCCAAUGAUAUGAAAAUUUGGCCUCAGAGCGUGUAAUUUGUGAAUCUCAUGGUAAAACUCUGAUUUUAUAAAAGGAAAUGUUUUUGAAAAUGGUUUUAGGGAAACAGUCUAUUAAACCCCCUCCACUAAAUAACAUUUGAUCCCCAUAUCCUCCAUCAAUAAGUAGUAUCAGAGCUAGUCUUUUGAUUAGGUCCUGCAACUUCAGAAGUUGAAAAUACGGGAUAGAAGGAUCCAAACUGUGUGUUCAAUAGAGCUCCCAUAUUCAAAUUUGAGUUGUAUGAAUAAAUUUCAUAUUAUUAUAUUAACAUAAUCAUCAGUUAGAAUUUCAAUGUGAUUUUAUCUUAAUGGAUUGGGCUGACAAGGUGUUAAAGUUUAUGUGCAUGAAUAACCCCCUAGCCAUAAGAAUUCAAGACUUUAAAUAUUUUAAUUUUGUUUCGAAAACUGAUUUAUCAUGAAGCUUAAAGUAUCUAAAUCAAAUAAAAAAGGGAAAAAGAAUGUUAGAAGAAAGUAGAAGCAUCUCCUUGAAGACUUGUUCUUCCAAGGUCAUUGUGAAAGAAGAUGAAGAUAGUUUCUAUGAAUAUGUUGGUGUGUUCUUUAAUUGUUCAACAAGUAUAUGAUAAGACUCAAAGUAAUAAGUUUUCAUUAGUGAUCCAAAUUAUUGUCAAAUUUUGAAUAAGUUAUCUAGGUUUGUCGAUGCAUAAGUUCAAGCAAUGAAGUAAUUAGUCAUUAUUGGGCGGGAAGACACAAGUAAAGAUAAUCAAAGCAUGUGUCAUUCCACUUCAUUUUUUAUUUUGUUAAGGAGUGUCUGAGAAUAUCUCUCCAAACGUGAAAAUAAAUACAUAUUCAAUUAUAUUUUGUUUUGAUUGUAUUGUCCUUUUACUUAAGUUUUUUUAUACUAACCAUUAUUUGUGCAUCAAUUAGAGCCUAAAUCAUCAAAUUUGUAUGAUCGUUCCACGCUCCUUCACCUUCUAUUAGUGUGCCUUUAAUUAUUUAUUGAUAUUUAUUUGUUUGAUGUAUUUUGUGUACGUACUAUAUGUUUGUUGUGUGUGCAUAAUAUAUCUCAUUCAUAUCUACAUUGUAUUGUCAUCUAGAUCAUUUCAUUUAUCUAAUUUUUUUUUUGUGUAAUCAUCUGUAUCAUGACAUUUGUUGAGAUGAAUUUUAUUUUUUUGCAUUCGAAUAUCUUGCAUAAAAAAUUUCAUUAAUUUCUUACAGUGAACUAUUAUUAUUCAUCUGUGCAUAGCAUUCUUCAUCCAUCAAUGCAUCAUUAAAAAAAUUUCAUCUGGUGUUAACCUUUUUAGAAUAUUCAUUAAAACUUAUUCUACUUGUAUAUCUACCAUAGCAUAAUAAAAUAUGGUAUUCAAAUCCUCCAAUAUAUCUACAAUAUCGUAAUCAAAUACCUGUUUUAUAAUAUUACAUUCUCUUAAUCAUCAUAUCGGUAUUAAUUUUGAUUGAUAUGCUAAAGAAGUAAUGAAACUAAUUGUCAUUAUCUCGUUAUUACUCAACAUUUCGAACACAUAUUAGGUCAUUAAACUUAUACAUGACUCAAAGUUACACAUGGAUAUUUCAAAGUGUCUAUCCAUGAUCAUGCAUGAAACAAAAAAGUUUCUUAAAUCAUUAAAUAUAAUAAUAAUAAUAAUAAUAAUAUUAAUAAUAAUAAUAAUAAUUAUUAUUAUUAUUAUUAUUAUUAUUAUUAUUACUAUUAUUAUUAUUAUUAUUAUUAUUAUUAUUAUUAUUAUUAUUAUUAUGUAACCUCCUUAUUAGAUAGCUUGAAGGGACAAACACAACACAUUUAUAAAAUUAAGAGACAUUUAAUUAUGAUUAUAAUUUUCUAAAAUAUUUGUACAACUUCGUCAGGAUAAAACUAAAAUUAAACAAAUAUUUAAAAAUCUGAACAUUUACUUCCUUACGCAUGUGAAGUUGAUGAAGAUUGUCCUAGAGAAUUAUAUCAUCACAAAAUCGUUAAAUGCAUCAAUCUGUUUUGCCGUAUUGUAUACCAGGAUAACAGAUCUUAAGAUAUGUUAUAUGGAAAAGUAUCAAUAAAAAAUAAAUGAAUGAUAUAUUAUGAUAAAAUUUAUCUUCUAAAAUAACAUUUAUUUAUUGUUCGAACAUUUUUUUUAGUUUUCUAAUUUCAUGAACCUGUAUUUAGGAUUUUAAUUUGUACUUUAAAUGAUAGUAAGAAAAUAAACAAUAUAACAAUGACAUAUAUCCAAUUCAUUUAUAUUACCUUAUUUUUAAUCCCACACACCUGUAAAAAUAACUUUAUAUUUUCAUUUGUAAUUUUUUUUAACUUACUUCAAAAUCUAUAUUUUUAUGUUAAAACCACAUGUUAACUUAUAGAUUUCAUGUCUAAAAAUCUGUAUUUUGAUGUUCUAUAAAACAAUUUGAUGGUUUUGN
rnacentral:lncRNA from 1 species